AGAGAGAGACAUGCGCGCAUAUCAAUAAGCGGAGGAAAAGAAACUAACUAGGAUUCCCUCAGUAACGGCGAGUGAAGCGGGAAGAGCUCAAAUUUGAAAUCUUCAAGGUUCUACCUUGACGAAUUGUAGUUUAAAGAAGUGUUUUCUGUUGGAGUUUUGGUAAAAGUUCUUUGGAAUAGGACAUCAUAGAGGGUGAGAAUCCCGUAUUUGACCAUUAUUUCCAGCUUUGUGAUACACUUUCAAAGAGUCGGAUUGUUUGGGAAUGCAGUCCAAAAUGGGUGGUAAAUUUCAUCUAAAGCUAAAUAUUGGCGAGAGACCGAUAGCGAACAAGUACCGUGAGGGAAAGAUGAAAAGAACUUUGAAAAGAGAGAUAAACAGUACGUGAAAUUGUCAAAAGGGAAGCGUUUGACACCAGUGUUGUUUUCUCGAAAAUCAAUUAAAAAAGGCAGGAUUUUGUGUUGUAUUGACUUUAUCAGCUUUCUGCACUCUUUUCUUGUCUUUUUUUAAUGCACUUUUCGUUUAACAAGUCAACAUCAAUUUCUUUUGUUGUAAAAGGGUCAUUGGAAGGUGGCUUUCUUUUCGGAGAAAGUGUUUAUAGCCUUUGGCCUCUGCAAUCGGAGAGAUUGAGGUCUGCAGCGUAGAUCCUUCGGGGUUAGAUACAUUUGUGCUAAGUUAUAGCCUUUCAUAGACAACUUGUUGACUAUGAUCAGUCAUGUAGCUUACUCGCUUAUGCUAUUUUACCUACGCUUAGGAUGUUGAUGUGAUACUGCGAGC
rnacentral:rRNA from 1 species